CCAAGGAGUCUAACAUGUGCGCGAGUCGUCGGGUCUUGAAUAGGCCCGCAGGCGAAAUGAAAGUGAAGGGCGACCCAGUCGUCGCCUGCGUUGGGAUCCCCGGGCCGCCGCGUCUGGGGCGCACCAACGGCCCGUCCCGUCCGCGUCGUCGGUGGGACGGAGCGAGAGCGUACACGUUGGGACCCGAAAGAUGGUGAACUAUGCCUGGGCAGGACGAGGCCAGAGGAAACUCUGGUGGAGGUCCGCAGCGAUUCUGACGUGCAAAUCGAUCGUCAGACCUGGGUAUAGGGGCGAAAGACUAAUCGAACCGUCUAGUAGCUGGUUCCCUCCGAAGUUUCCCUCAGGAUAGCUGGCGCUCGAGGGAGUCAGUCUCAUCCGGUAAAGCGAAUGAUUAGAGGCCUUGGGGCCGAAACGACCUCAACCUAUUCUCAAACUUUCAAUGGGUGAGAAGUCCGGUUUACAUGACUGAAGCCCGGACAAUUCUCAGGAUGCGAGUGCCCAGUGGGCCACUUUU
rnacentral:rRNA from 1 species